UACGAAGGGGGCUAGCGUUGCUCGGAAUCACUGGGCGUAAAGGGCGCGUAGGCGGCGUUUUAAGUCGGGGGUGAAAGCCUGUGGCUCAACCACAGAAUGGCCUUCGAUACUGGGACGCUUGAGUAUGGUAGAGGUUGGUGGAACUGCGAGUGUAGAGGUGAAAUUCGUAGAUAUUCGCAAGAACACCGGUGGCGAAGGCGGCCAACUGGACCAUUACGUGACGCUGAGGUGCGAAAGCGUGGGGAGCAAACAGGG
rnacentral:rRNA from 1 species